rnacentral:rRNA from 1 species
AGUGAACGCUGGCGGUAGGCCUAACACAUGCAAGUCGAACGGCAGCACAGUAAGAGCUUGCUCUUACGGGUGGCGAGUGGCGGACGGGUGAGGAAUACAUCGGAAUCUACUUUUUCGUGGGGGAUAACGUAGGGAAACUUACGCUAAUACCGCAUACGACCUACGGGUGAAAGCAGGGGAUCUUCGGACCUUGCGCGAUUGAAUGAGCCGAUGUCGGAUUAGCUAGUUGGCGGGGUAAGGGCCCACCAAGGCGACGAUCCGUAGCUGGUCUGAGAGGAUGAUCAGCCACACUGGAACUGAGACACGGUCCAGACUCCUACGGGAGGCAGCAGUGGGGAAUAUUGGACAAUGGGCGCAAGCCUGAUCCAGCCAUACCGCGUGGGUGAAGAAGGCCUUCGGGUUGUAAAGCCCUUUUGUUGGGAAAGAAAAGCAGCAGGUUAAUACCCCGCUGUUCUGACGGUACCCAAAGAAUAAGCACCGGCUAACUUCGU